rnacentral:tRNA from 1 species
CGGGAUGAACCAGAAUGAACCGUAAUGAAUAAAAUAAAAUUGCGGAUGGGGUGCAAGGGGUCGCAGGUUCAAAUCCUGCCGUCCCGACCA